rnacentral:rRNA from 1 species
AUUGAACGCUGGCGGAAUGCUUUACACAUGCAAGUCGAACGGUAGAGGGGGCAACCCCUCGAGAGUGGCGAACGGGUGAGUAAUAUAUCGGAACGUGCCCAGUCGUGGGGGAUAACGUAGCGAAAGUUACGCUAAUACCGCAUACGAUCUAAGGAUGCAAGCGGGGGAUCGCAAGACCUCGCGCGAUUGGAGCGGCCGAUAUCAGAUUAGGUAGUUGGUGGGGUAAAGGCUCACCAAGCCAACGAUCUGUAGCUGGUCUGAGAGGACGACCAGCCACACUGGAGAUGAGACACGGUCCAGACGCCUACGGGAGGCAGCAGUGGGGAAUUUUGGACAAUGGACGCAAGUCUGAUCCAGCCAUGCCGCGUGCAGGAUGAAGGCCCUCGGGUUGUAAACUGCUUUUGUACGGAACGAAAAGGUCUCUCUUAAUACGGGGGACUCAUGACGGUACCGUAAGAAUAAGCACCGGCUAACUACGUGCCAGCCGCCGCCGUAA